rnacentral:rRNA from 1 species
AGAGUUUGAUCAUGGCUCAGAUUGAACGCUGGCGGCAUGCCUUACACAUGCAAGUCGAACGGCAGCACGGGAGCAAUCCUGGUGGCGAGUGGCGAACGGGUGAGUAAWRUAUCGGAACGUGCCCAGUCGUGGGGGAUAACGYAGCGAAAGCURYGCUAAUACCGCAUACGAUCUAUGGAUGAAAGCGGGGGAUCGCAAGRCCUCGCGCGAUUGGAGCGGCCGAUAUCAGAUUAGSUAGUUGGUGGGGUAAAGGCCACCAAGSCGACGAUCUGUAGCUGGUCUGAGAGGACGACCAGCCACACUGGRACUGAGACACGGCCCAGACUCCUACGGGAGGCAGCAGUGGGGAAUUUUGGACAAUGGGCGCAAGCCUGAUCCAGCAAUGCCGCGUGCAGGAUGAAGGCCUUCGGGUUGUAAACUGCUUUUGUACGGAACGAAACGGUUCUCUCUAAUAAAGAGGGCUAAUGACGGUACCGUAAGAAUAAGCACCGGCUAACUACGUGCCAGCAGCCGCGGUAAUA